GAUGAACGCUGGCGGCGUGCCUAAUACAUGCCAGUCGAGCGAACAGACGAGGAGCUUGCUCCUCUGACGUUAGCGGCGGACGGGUGAGUAACACGUGGAUAACCUACCUAUAAGACUGGGAUAACUUCGGGAAACCGGAGCUAAUACCGGAUAAUAUAUUGAACCGCAUGGUUCAAUAGUGAAAGACGGUUUUGCUGUCACUUAUAGAUGGAUCCGCGCCGCAUUAGCUAGUUGGUAAGGUAACGGCUUACCAAGGCAACGAUGCGUAGCCGACCUGAGAGGGUGAUCGGCCACACUGGAACUGAGACACGGUCCAGACUCCUACGGGAGGCAGCAGUAGGGAAUCUUCCGCAAUGGGCGAAAGCUUGACGGAGCAACGCCGCGUGAGUGGUGAAGGUCUUCGGAUCGUAAAACUCUGUUAUUAGGGAAGAACAAAUGUGUAAGUAACUAUGCACGUCUUGACGGUACCUAAUCAGAAAGCCACGGCUAACUACGUG
rnacentral:rRNA from 1 species